rnacentral:tRNA from 1 species
CGUGGUGUAGCUCAGUGAUAGAGCACUUGCCUAGAAUGUGUGAAACCCAGAGUUCGAUCCCCUGUACCACAA